ACAUUGGCUUUUUUGAAAGCCACAUAACAGUGACAAAAUAUGAACA
rfam:Charadrius vociferus contig60826, whole genome shotgun sequence.